AUUGAACGCUGGCGGCAGGCUUAACACAUGCAAGUCGAGCGGGGGAGGUUGCUUCGGUAACUGACCUAGCGGCGGACGGGUGAGUAACACUUAGGAAUCUGCCUAUUAAUGGGGGACAACAUCUCGAAAGGGAUGCUAAUACCGCAUACGCCCUUCGGAGGAAAGCAGGGGAUCCCUUUUGACCUUGCGUGAAUAUAUGAGCCUAAGUCGGAUUAGCUAGUUGGUGGGGUAAAGUCCUACCAAGGCGACGAUCUGUAGCGGGUCUGAGAGGAUGAUCCGCCACACUGGGACUGAGACACGGCCCAGACUCCUACGGGAGACAGCAGUGGGGAAUAUUGGACAAUGGGGGGAACCCUGAUCCAGCCAUGCCGCGUGUGUGAAGAAGGCCUUAUGGUUGUAAGGCACUUUAAGCGAGGAGGAGGCUCUUUUGGUUAAUACCCAAGAUGAGUGGACGUUACUCGCAGAAUAAGCACCGGCUAACUCUGUGCCAGCAGCCGCCGUAAUAC
rnacentral:rRNA from 1 species